rnacentral:antisense_RNA from 1 species
GUUAGUCGCCAUCUUUGAGUGGGGCAGACGUCGGCCGCCUUGCUCGCGGUCACUUCAUCCUAAGUUGUAUAUGUGCAGAGCGCCGCGCGGGUGGUCGCCUCCGCUGCUGCCGCCACCCGCCCGUCCUGCCUUUGACCGCAUAGGUCACAGACAAGACAGGGUGAUCGCGGCAAGACCCUGAGUGAGACUAGUGGCGUUACCCAGAGGGUGCGAGGUCGAGCACCCUCACUGCCCCAUCGCAAACCCAAAGAUCCCCCGUUCCUGGAGAUUCUGAUUGAGGUCCCAGCCCUACCUGUCCUGAUGCCUGACCAGCAGGAUGCAAGCCCAGGAGGCCAUCCAAGAUACCAGGACUGGGAGAGAAUGCCCAGUGGUGAUUCCUGCAUAGUCCUAGGAGGUGUCUUGGGCCCAGGCUCUGGAGUUGGAGGCUCAGUUUGAGGUAGGGGCUGGAAACUGGAGGGCUCCAUCUUCUCUGAUAGGACCUCCUGGCCCUGCACCUGGACUGUGACCUGGGGAGGUGCCCCCACCAUCAGAGGUCCUACCAGAGAGUGAGGCUGGCCGCAACC